AAGACCUUUGAACCAACGCUACUAACCCCAACCCACACAUCUACUACCUUUUCUUCCUUCCGCGCUUUCUGUUUGCCUUUCGAUCCUCGCUCAAGCUGCGCAUAACACACUCUCCUUUCACGCGCUCGACUUUUCCUUCCACCCCCUCCCCGUGUAAACCAUGGCCACCACGUACGAGGAGUUUUCGGCGAAGCUGGACCGCCUGGAUGAGGAGUUCAACAGGAAGAUGCAGGAGCAGAACGCCAAGUUCUUUGCGGACAAGCCGGAUGAGUCGACGCUGUCGCCCGAGAUGAAGGAGCACUACGAGAAGUUCGAGCGCAUGAUCAAGGAACACACAGAGAAGUUCAACAAGAAGAUGCACGAGCACUCGGAGCACUUCAAGCAGAAGUUCGCCGAGCUGCUCGAGCAGCAGAAGGCUGCGCAGUACCCGUCCAAGUAAGACAGCGAGGGUAAAACCACUGUAGGGUGAGAUUCGGUGUCUUGUGUAUAUGAAGGCGCCCAUCAGCCACACAUAUUUACUUGUCCGCGUUUUUCUUUUCCGCCUUUUCCCCCUCUCUUCUCGUGCUGCAUUGUGUGUAGAGUCACGUGCUCGAUACAUGCACAGAGGCAGCCUUGUUACCGCCCCCGUCUCGCUCGCUGUUUCUGCCUUCGUAUCAAACUCUCCCUUGCUCCCCAGCUGCUCAUCAGCUUGUGUUGCAGGGAAGGUUUAGAGAGAAAGCGGAGGCAAAAUACGUGCCCGCUGGUGACGGGCACACGUGCGCAUGCCUCUGUACGCGGUCGUUUCCAUGUAGGCGUGCGCUUGCCGCGAGAGGCGGCCCUUCAAGACUGUCAAGUGGUCUCACCAGGCUAAACACACACACCAUCAAUGCACGUAUGUAUACAGUGAUGAAAGGGGGAGGGCGAAAUCUACCACCUAAAGAAAAAAAGCAUGAGACGAGGGAAUGGAGAGUUUUUUCGUGCGUUCGUUUUCAGUGCGCGUGCGUGUUCGUAAACAUUCUGUGCGUUGCUGUUCUGGUGUACCUUUGUGUGCAGGACGUGACACACCGAACUGUGCAGCGCAAGCGUAAUGACGCGGCUCCUACUCGCCACCAUGUAUUUUUGUGACCAACCAGUAAGGAAAAAGAAGAGCACGAAUGAAGCAAGUGAUACGGAUCACUAAGAGACCAUUAGUGAAUGCCGUGUAGCCGCACUCGGAGGGUGACUGAAGGAGGCGCUGGAACGGCAUGAUCAACGAGCGGCGGUGCGUGCGGGGUUAUACGUGUGUGAGGGUGGUUCUCUCUUUCGCCCUCUCGUGAUGGAGACAGGGAUGCCGCCAGCUCAUACGGUCACGCGAGGCGAGGGAGCAUGGCUUGUGAGUUCCCAGCGAGGCGACGAGAAAGAAAGGCCCAGCUGCCUUUUUUUUCCCUGUUCGUUCGCGGUGUUGCACAAGCAUUGACGCGGUGCCCUUUUUCUCUCCCGCCCAUACAGGUCUUGUUUCGCUCGCUUGUCGUGACCCCACCCCCUCCGUUUUC
rnacentral:misc_RNA from 1 species